GGGGAAGAAAAGGGUGUUGUUCUAGGUUCAGAUGCGACCCGAGUGGCAACGUGCCUCGAGGGAUAUUUCGUUUUCUUUCAUUGACCUUUGAAUAUCGGUAUUUUCACGAACGUUACAUACAUGCAAUUAACGAACACAAUGAAACAGAAACUUCUGUAAACCCUCCACAACACUACCACCAGCAAAAGGGGAUGGAAUCCAGCGAAUGUGCGCUGCUGUUUACAUCACAAUCACUUUAUGCUUUAAAAAAAAAAAAAAAA